rnacentral:rRNA from 1 species
ACGGGAGGCAGCAGUGGGGGAUAUUGCACAAUGGGGGAAACCCUGAUGCAGCGACGCCGCGUGAGGGAAGAAGGUUUUCGGAUUGUAAACCUCUGUCUUCGGGGACGAUAAUGACGGUACCCGAGGAGGAAGCCACGGCUAACUACGUGCCAGCAGCCGCGGUAAUACGUAGGUGGCAAGCGUUGUCCGGAAUUACUGGGUGUAAAGGGAGCGUAGGCGGGAAUGCAAGUUGAAUGUUUAAACUAUCGGCUCAACUGAUAGUCGCGUUCAAAACUGCGUUUCUUGAGUGAAGUAGAGGCAAGCGGAAUUCCUAGUGUAGCGGUGAAAUGCGUAGAUAUUAGGAGGAACACCAGUGGCGAAGGCGGCUUGCUGGGCUUUUACUGACGCUGAGGCUCGAAAGUGUGGGUAGCAAACAGGAUUAGAUACCCUGGUA